UGCCCGAGGCCAGGAUCUGGCUGGGGAGCUGCGUCGGGCUUAGGCCGUUGCGAGAGAGCGCCCGCGGCCACCCCGGCCCGCGCAACCCCGGAACCCUGCGGGCCGCUCGGCCGCGGCCGCUCUCGCUUGGCUCUCGAGGCCCAGUGUGAUCCCAAGGGUUCUCAAAAGUGGAAGAGGAAGACAGGAGAAAAAGAGAUGUGGUAACGGAAGGAGGUCUGAGACGUGCUAUGUUAAUGGCUUGUAGAUGGAAGAGGGCCAUGAGCCAAGGAACAUGGGCAGCCUCUAGAAGCUGGAAAAGGCAAGGAAAUGGACUGUCUCCUGGAUCCCCCACUUUCGGGAUCUCAACUUUAGCCCAUUAAGACCUGGCUCAGACUUCUAUCCAGAACUAUGGAAUUCCAGGCUGGAGAGCAGUGGCCCGAUCUCAGCUCACUACAACCUCUGCCUGCUGGGUUCAAGUGAUUCUUGUGCCUCAGCCUCCCGAGUAGCUGGGAUUACAGAUCCAAUAGGUGGCACAAGGAGUCACUUACACAGGACAAGCACUGGCCAGCAGAGAACUUGGACUUCCUGUUUCCGGGGGGCCUUCAUCUUAGAGAUGUCCUAGUCACGUUACACAGCCAUUCCCUGCCCCGGAGAAAGAAUCUGGUCGCUCAGCUUGGUUCAGGAGUGUCUACCCUGGUCAUCUUUGGUAGAGCCGGAGGGUCACUUGAGGAGAUGAUAGUGACUGCUGGGGCCACCCCUGUGGAAGGGGGCUGGGGACAACUUUUAGGAAAGGAGGCACAGGCUGAACAGAAGACCCUAAAUGUGCCCACUCCCUCCAGGCAUCGCUGCUGCCUUUGGCACUGCAGCUGGUGGCUCUGCGUCUUCCCCUCCAGGCUCCCUGCCUUCUCCCUUAAACCUCCAGCAUUAAUGGGACAUCAUUUGUUAACCGAAAAUAUUUUCUCCAUAAACUUCAGCACAUUGGUGAAUGUCUACCACAGAAACAUUUUUUCGUGUGGAAUAAUCAAAUCGGGGACCACGUGUUGAGGGGAGAAACCGUUUAAACAAAAGACAUGCCAAGUACAUUGGGACUGAGUGAGUUCAUAAGGAUCUACAUGUGUCUAACAGUGUAUUUUACAACCAACAAAGUUACUAUACAUAAUAAGUAUGCAUAGUAAUGUUUAAACAGCCCUCCCAUUAUGUCUAAAUGAGAACGAUCUUAUUCACACUUCUUCAAGUGACCAAAGAAGAACAUCUGAAAUUAGGGGUGAGAGGCAAAAAGUCUAGAGGUUCUGACCUAAGUGGGUUCCUGCUUCUGAUUUAUAAGGUGCCAUUCAGGGAACGAUGGGGCCCUUUGUUAAAUCCAAAGACUAUACUGUUAGCCUCGGAGAGCAACUGAGACUCUUUCCUCCACAGUCUCUGAUAGUGGUGGUGGAGGUGACGGUGAUAUCAUGUGAAGCACUCUUCACAUGGAUUAUCGGGUUUACUCUUUACAACAUCCCUAUGAGGUGGAUAGUAGUAUUAUCCCCAUUUUACACAUGAGGAAACUGAGGCACAGAGGGAGUUAACUUCCAUUCCAAAGUUCUCAGAAAUGGUAACUUGCAGAACCAACCUAUAAACCUAAGUCUGGCUACAGCUGAAGACCUUUGAUCCUUAUGAAUAUAAUAUAUCUAGAUCUUCCAACAAGAUUGUUUUUUUUAAUUUUGAAAACAAAGCUCCCGAAUGGACAUUACGCCUUCCCAUCAUUUUCAUCACUCACUAGGUCUUUUUAUUUCCACUGCAUUCGAAACAACUUCUUUUGCGUUUCCUAUAAGGAAGUACUGAGGAGGAGGGCAUCAAAGUGAUUAGGACCCUCUUGGGGUUUUUGAGAAGCUCUAGGUCAUCUAAUACUAGGAAGAGGCUGUAUAAGCAUAAUUAUAACGCAAUAUUCAAUAUGAGAUGUCGUCCUAGAAACACAGGGAUCUAGGGGAUUAAGGGAAGGAGCAGUCACGUCCUCUAAGUAUAUACAAGGUAUGGUUUGCUGCAUGUGAAUGUUGCUAGAAUAAUCAUGUGAAAGAGACAGAAGUCCCAUGUUAGCGAAAGUAACCAGCAGUUCGCAGGUGUGAUCCUCAGUGGGACCACUAUGACUUCCGGUAAGUUAGGUGGCCUCGUGCAUUAGUCUGUUCUCACAGUGCUAUAAAGUACUACUUGAGACUGGGUAAUUUAUAAAGAAAAGACAUUUGACUCACAGUUCCACAGGCUGUACAGGAGGCAUGGCCGGGGAGGCCUCAGGAAACUUAAAAUCACCGCAGACGGCGAAGGGAAAGCAGGCAGGUCUUACCAUGGCCGGAGAAGGAGGAAGACAGUGAAGAGGGAGGUAUUACAUACUUUUAAACAACCGGAUGUCGUGAGAACUCACUAUUACAAGAGCAGCAAGGGGGAAGUCUGCCCCCAUGAUCCAAUCAUCUCCUACCAGUCCUCCCUCCAACGCUGGGGACUACAAUUUAGACAUGAGAUUUCGUCAGGAACACAAAUCCAAAGCAUCUCACCGUGUCUUUAUUGAAACAGGAAAGACACAAGACCUAGAUAGGCCUGAGCCUUGUAGCGUGUUCUCAGUAAGCAGCGUCCCUGAAGAAAAGACUGCUAGCUAUUGCGAGCUGUCAGCCAGCAAACCCAGGCAGGGAUGAUAGGACGACCUGCAGGGGAGAUCUUUGGAAAGAACUCUUCCCUCAGUGUGACACUUUAGAUCUCUAGGAUCUCUCCGGAACAGCCCCUGGAAUAGAUGGAUACACCUUGUUCUUUGUACUUUGAUUGCAAAAACCAGCCCGUCAUCUGCCACCAGCUGCACUCAGUGAAUCUUGGUGCUGUCCAGCAUGCAGACAUCUGAGACAUGUGUUGAUUACAUGCUCUGCCCCCCACUGUCAUUACUAAGGCCUGCUUUCUGUUUAGGCGACAUGAGCCGGCUGUGCCUUCCUGCUCCUCUGUUGUCUGCAGCAGUCUGCCAUCAGGACUUAGAGGCUUAACCAUAGCAGUGGAAAGCAGGAUGCACUCCAGACUUAUCUGACUUUGGAUAAAAUAGCUCUAAAGCUCUUUUUCAUUUAUAUACAACUUUACAUUACAAAGCCCAUCACAAUCAUCAUUAAUUAAACCUGCCACUCAUUGCCCUCUGAGGUAGAGCUGAAUUAGUCUGCUCAUUUUACAGCUGACAAAACAGACAGAAAGGCUUAAGGAUUUGCUGAAGUGAAGUGGGGUUCAAUCAAGGAAGCCUGGCAUGAUUCCCUUUCUAGUUCAUUCUUCGUCUCCUGGAGGAGGCCUUCAAAACGCCUAGCUCCUAGCUCUGAGCAGCUAAAGGAAGCCAACUGGGGAGAGGAACUUGGCGGAGCAGCUGUGGUGACCUAGAACAGAACAUCAGUGUGAGGUUUGGAUGAUGUGAACACUUGCGUGUCAUGUUUUCCUGAUUCUCAGUGGAUAUUACACACGUGCACAGACACACACACACGCACACAUGCACAUGCGUGCGCACACACACUCAUGCACACACAUACGCAUGAACACACAGGCACAUGUGCGCGUGCACACACAGGCACACAGAGUUUUCUCUUGUUGGGUCAGGUAGCAGAAGGAUGUCGGAAGGUAGUUGGAAUACUGGUUUGCAGCAAUGCUCUGUCUGAGCUGGUGGCAAAGUGGCCCACCCAUUACUCUCCUUGCCAACCACUUGCCAGGGCUCUUAUAUCAGAAUUUUAAACAAACUCUAAAUCAAACACAUCCCAAGGACAGGCCCAGUUUCCCAUUUUGUGGAACCUAGAGCAAGAAUGAAAACAAAAACUCACGUAUCAUAUGUGUAAAUAUUUUUAAACUCUAGCCAAAGCUAACAAACUUGGGUUUCCCACCUUGACAGAUACACCUUUACAAUGAUGCAGACACUUGGUUUGAAUUUAGAAUAUUUCAGCUCCUUAGAGCUCCAUAUCAAAAUGUGGUGGCUCAGGGGAGCAGUCCUGGCCCAGACCAAUGCCCUUCCUCCAUCCCUCAAAUUGGGCCCACAUCAGAAAGGGCCUCACAUACUCAUGAUGUGGAUUCUAGCCCAUAUGUCCAAGUGUUGGCCAUAUCGCCACCCCCUUUUGGUUGACACUUGGGCAUAUGGCCCAACUGUAUAGUCCACCCUCAGAAGGAUAGAUCAGGGUCGGGCACAAUGGCUCACACCUGUAAUCUCAGCCCUUUGGGAGGUUCGCUUGAGGUCAGGAGUCUGAGACCAUCCUGGCCAACAUGGUGAAACCUCGUCUCUACUAAAAAUACAAAAAUUAGCCGGGCAUGGUAGUGAGUGCCUGUAAUCCCUGUUAACUCAGGAGGCUGAGGCAGGAGAAUCUCUUGAACCUGGGAGGUAGAGGUUGCAGUGAGCCAAGAUUGUGCCAUUGCACUCUAGCCUGGGCAACAGAGCAAGACUCUGCCUCAAAAAAAAAAAAAAAAAAAAGGCAGGAGAACAGGAGAAGAGGCCCACACCAGUCUUGGAGCAGGGCCAUUGGCAGGAAAUUCUGAGUUCUGGUACCUGGAAUGUAGCCUAAAAUGAUGGCAUGGCUCUGGGAGAGUAAAUCCACUUAGCCUGUAGACUCCUUGUCCAGUGGGGAGGACUGACCAGAAAAGAACAAGGGUAGCAUAGGGCUCUCUACAUAGUGGGUCCCAGGGGAGAGACCCCUCUUACCGAGACGUAAGAGCAAAUCAUAUCUGGCCAAAUAAUAAAUGAGCCAAAGGUGUGAGCUAAUAGAAUCUACACAAAUCUGGGUACCAUUAUUUCUACCUAAACUUUAAAACACAGAGGCAUGAGCUGCUUUAAGUAUUUUAUCUGCUAUCUCCAAUAAAUGACUUAUUUAUUCUUGGCAGUAGGCAUGAUCUCCAGUAGGUAUAAGGGCCAGAGACCAAAUGAAUGAGCUCUGUAUGUAAAUAUUUUACUGGUAUGGUUGCACUCCCAUACAAAACCCUAGAAGGUGAUCCUAGGUACUGCUACCUCCCCACCAUGGACCAAGGGGAAGGAAGAAGAGAAGCUUGAUUUCCUGGACUGCUGGCCAUUGUUGUGGGAGUUGCUUGGGUCAGUCGAGGUUGUGAGGAGCUGUGAGACAAAACAGCUUCCGUCCACAUCAUUUUCUGCAGAAUCAGGGUCAUGAUCGUAGUCCGGACUCUGAGAUGCAAAGAAGCCAAAAUUAUGAGCUUCCUUAUUGUUAACCGUGUCUCAGUUUUGCAUGAACAUUUACAACAUUUAAUAUUAAGGGAAAUAUGUCCACAUGUAAAAAGUAUUUUCACCACCAAAUUCUUGAGGCAAAACAUGUAAGGAAAUGUGUACAGCGUUUAUUUUGAUGCAAAUUCGUUGUACGUUUGAAUGCCAACAGCACUGAAUUCUGGAUUCUUGGCUCAGGCAAGGGUCAGUCCAACUUUCUCCCAGAGUAUUGUUCCUAAUAUAUGAAGGACACAUUCCUUAACGAUCUUUGGAGGUAUGUUAUAUAAUUUAAUUUCCUUUACAUUUUUUGUUUGUUUUUGAGAUGGAGUCUCGCUCUGUUGCCCAGGCUGGAGUGCAAUGGCCCGAUCUCAGUUUACCAAAACCUCUGCCUCCCAGGGGGUUCAAGGGCUUCUCCUGCCUCAGCCUCCUGAGUAGCUGGGAUUACAGGUACCCACCACCAUGCCCAGCUAUUUUUGUAUUUUUAUGAGAAAUGGGGUUUCACCAGGUUGGCUAGGCAGGUCUAGAACUCCUGACCUCAGGUGAUCCACCCACCUGAGGCUCCCAGAGUGCUGGGAUUAUAGGUGUGAGCCACUGUUCCCGACCUCUGUUAAAUUUUUUUUUUUCUUUGCCUAUGGAGGUAGAAACAGAGCCCAAAUCAGAAUUUAAAAGUUGUUUCACACUAGUAGGUGGUGGUCCCUUCUGGGGUGUGAACAGGUAGGUUCUCUUCCUACCCGUUUCACCUUCUCCCCAACAGAGCCACUAUCUGUUCAGACAGAGCCACUUGAAAAGCUAGGGACAAUUCGUAUUCCCUGACUGAUCCCAUUUUUGGUUGUCGCUUGGCAACUUGGUCUGUGUCGCAGCCUGUAUAAGCAUCCAGCUUCCCAAAAGCAUCUCUGAAACCUCUCUCAAUGCGGUUCGGGUUCCCAUGUCGUCAUGAUUUACCCUCCUGGCUCAUCAGUUAAGGUGGACUGUGGGUCCAAAGUAGGUGGCUCAACGCUGGUCAGUAAGACCUUGCUGGGAUGGUCCACCCAAGAGCAUCGCCGAUGACUGCUAAUAAAACCCGAUGUCACUGAUACUGAGUGAGGUAACCUUCUGUUUAUUAACAAUAGUUAGGGAAUGAGGUGUUUAAUACAUUGGGUAAUCCACUUAAUUAUAGACAACCAGUGUCUAAAGAAAUGUAAACUAGUUUUGAAAGAACUAUAAGGCUGGGCAUGGUGGCUCAUGCCUGGAAUCCCAGCACUUUGGGAGCCUGAGGCGGGUGGAUCAGUCGAAGUCAGGAGAUCAAGAGCAGCCUGGUCAACAUGGUGAAACUUCGUCUCCACAAAAAAAUAAAGAAAUUAGCCGGGAGUGGGGGUGCAUGCCUGUAAUCCAAGCUACUCGGGAGGCUGAGGCAGGAGAAUCGCUUGAACCUGGGAGGCAGAGAAGUUGCAGUGAGGGGAGGUUGAACCACUGCACUUCAGCCUGGGUGACAGAGUAAGACUCUGUCUCAAAAAGAAAGAAAGAAGGAAGGAAGGAAGGAAGGGACCUGUAAUCCCACCUCCCAUAAAGGCCAUAGGCUUCUUAAGGCAUAGUCUGUGUCAGUUUUAUCUUUAUUCCUCUUAUGGUAUCUUGCAAGUUGCUUUAUAUAUUGUAGGUGCUAAAAGAGUUUUUAUUGAAUGAAUGAAACUAUAGGACACAAACUAUCAUUUACCAAGGUGUCUUAAUUCUUCUUUGACAACUCAGAAGGCCCUCCGGAAUCACACAUUUCAAGGUUGUUAUUAUGUGCGUUAUCCUUGGGGAUGUUUAAGCACAGGUCAAGUAGUUGAAAGGGGAAUUCUGCAGCGACUGGAAGAUAGGACUUGAUAACUACCAGCUCAUUCCAAGUCUUUGUGUAUGUGUUGAGAAGUCAAAUAUAGAAAUGAUCUCAUUUAUUAUUACCCGAAAGAAACACCACAUCACAGUGCAAUUGUGAUGUGUUUGUGAAACCAGGAGAUUACAAGUGAAAACUGUUGAAUGGUCUCUGUUAAUAAGAAAACCGGAUUUCAUGAUCCUUGACUAUGAUAAGUCAAUUAAUCUGAAAAGGUAGGAUAUCAUUGGUGCUGUGAGUGUAUUAUUACCAUUAUUUAAUUUUAUUUUAUUAAAACCUGCUCAUUAGAUUACAAUUUACUAACGCAAACAUGUUUGUCGCUAUGUGGCUAAUAUAUGCCAAGCCUGUGUUAGCCAUUAGGGAUACAAUGUGAAUAUAAUUCAUGCCCUCAAGAAAUUUAAAUAAUUAAUCUGUAAAAACAUUUCAUUGCGCAGAUCAUUUUUACAGCACUUUAAAUGUCAAUGUGGGAAAUUAGCCAGGGUGUGAUGUGACCCUCUAACCUAUCCCACAACUCGUUCAAAAUACAGAACAAUACAAAGGAAAAAAUACCAAUGUUAGCUUAAUUACUUGACAUUAGUGUUUUUCUGAAAAACACAGUAUACAGAAUGUUCAUUUAGAAUUCCGGGUAAAUAUGCUUCCGCACGGAAGGUGAUUUUAAUUUCAGUUUAGUGCAAGGUCUGCUAGCCCCCCAGAACUUCAGGGUGAAGCAGCCUCCCCAGGUGGGGAGGAGAGAGCCAUCACAGCGCCCCACCCUCUUCUCUGAUCUUCCUGGGGAUCUGAUAGUGACAGGGGUGGUGGCAGGGAGCCCUGCCCUGGAACUCAGGAGAAGCCUGGGAGGCAGGGACAGGUGUUCUCAGUCCAGUCUGUCAGGUACUGUUUGUAAUGGAUGCUGCCGUCAUUCCUCACAGUUCCCUGUAAACAUGUUGAUUUUCAGCUCGAUAGGAGAACUUUGCCAUUUAGUGUUUUCAUAUCUAAAACUAAGGCAGGGUGGCUCAGCCUCUAAUCCCAGCACUUUGCAAGCCUGAGGUGGGUGGAUCACUUCAGGUAAGAAGUGUGAGACCAGCCUGGGCAACAUGGUGAAACCCCAUCUCUACCAAAAAAAAUAUAUAAAAAUUAGCUGGGCGUGAGUGGUGUGAGCCUGUGGUCCCACCUACUCAGGAGGCUGAGGUCGAAGGUUACCUUGAGCCUGGGAGGCAGAGGUUGCAGUAAGCCAAGAUUGCCCCACUGCACUCCAGCCUGGGUGACAGAGAGACCCUGUCUCAAAAAUAAACAAACAAACAAACAAAUGAAAAUAAAUAUAAGGGCCAGGCACAGUGGCUCACGCCUGUAAUCCCAGUACUUUGGGAGGCCGAAGCAGGCGGAUCGCCUGAGGUCAUGAGUUCGAGACCAGACUGGCCAAUACGAUGAAACCCUGUCUCUACUAAAAGUACACUGGGGGCCAGGCGCGGUGGCUUACGCCUGUAAUCCCAGCACUUUGGGAGGCCGAGGCGGGUGGAUCACGAGGUCAAGAGAUCGAGACCAUCCUGGUCAUCAAGGUGAAACCCCGUCUCUACUAAAAAUACAAAAAAUUAGCUGGGCAUGGUGGUGCAUGCUUGUAAUCCCAGCUACUCAGGAGGCUGAGGCAGGAGAAUUGCCUGAACCCAGGAGGCGGAGGUUGCGGUGAGCCGAGAUCACGCCAUUGCACUCCAGCCUGGGCGACAGAGUGAGACUGCAUCCCCCCAACCCCUCAAAAAAAGAAGGUUUAGAUGAAAUCAGUUUCCCAACAUACAGUGUGCCGGAGGACACAAGCCCCAUAAGAUGCGCCAUCGGAAUGGAGUGUGUGGAAAGCCACGCGAUACACCUUUUAGUGGAGACUCAUGGCGGUGCCUCCGCACACUGACGCCAGAGGAGCUGCACGGUCCAAACAAUUAAAAGCGGCAUUUCUCAAAAGGCUUAGCCCUGAAACCCUUUCUUCUCGUAUCACCUACUAGCAUCUGCUGACUCACUUAGUGUUCGGAGAUACACAUUUUGAGAAACCCUAGAACAUCUCUAUAGCCAUUGUUUUUUCGUUGUUUAUCGAGAUGGAGUCUCACUCUGUCGCCCAGGCUGGAGUGCAGUGGCACAAUCUCAGUUCACUGCAACCUCCGCCUCGCGGAUUCAAGCAAUUCUCCUGCCUCAGACUCCCGAGUAGCUGGCAUUAGAGGCCAGUGCCACCACACCUGACUAAUUUUUGUAUUUUUAGUAGAGACGGGGUUUCACCCUGUUGGCCAGAUGGUCUCGAACUCCUGACCUCGUGAUCUGCCCACCUCGGCCUCCUAAAGUGCUGGGGUUACAGGUAUGAGCCACUGCAACCGGCCUAGACAUUGGUUUUUAUGGCCUCUUAAAGCAAAAAGUAGUCUUAGAAAUCAGAGGUCCAUUGAGGUUAGGUAGCCUGUCAGGGAUCUCAGUUACUAGGCAGACUAGGUUCCUCUCGUUUGUCAAUUUCUUACAUUCUGUAUUCUCAUAACCUUGAUGAAUAACAUAUUACUGUAAGAAAAGCUAGAAAAAGCAUCAGUGAUUUAAAUCCGCAGACAAUUCCUAAGCCCUGGAAUUUCUAC